rnacentral:rRNA from 1 species
UACGUAGGGACCAAGCGUUGUCCGGAAUCAUUGGGCGUAAAGCGCGCGUAGGUGGCCAUUUAAGUCCGCUGUGAAAGUCAAAGGCUCAACCUUUGAAAGCCGGUGGAUACUGGGUGGCUAGAGUACGGAAGAGGCGAGUGGAAUUCCUGGUGUAGCGGUGGAAUGCGCAGAUAUCAGGAGGAACACCAAUAGCGAAGGCAGCAGACUAGGGUGCAACUGACGCUGAGGCACGAAAGUGCGGGGAUCAAACAGGG